AGAGCAAUACCCAUGUCUCCCCCCAAAUGGGGCCAAUCAGUAAACAAUCCAUCUCACCUUACGCUGUUAUCUUUUUCUUCUCUCUUUUCUCCAGACACGCACACGCGCACCUUCCCUGAUUUCUCUCCUCCCUUCCAUAAAAUUAAAUUAAACUAAUUUUCAAUACAAUAAUAAUAAGCAGCAGCGGCAGCUGGAGGUGACUGGGGAGACCAGAGACGGGGUGUGGAGUACCUAUAAGAGCGUCAAGUCCCACUAAUCGUUCCUCCUUUACUAUCCCUCUCUCUUAUAUUUCUGCAACCUCUCCCAUGGACCCACCACCGCCCCCUCAACCGCCGCCUUCUUCUUCCCUUUCCACCGCUACCACCACCUCUGCCACCCCCACCAACACCACCGCGGCAACCACCUUGCCCCCUCACCUAGCCGCUACCAAUACCUCCGCCGGAACCUACCCUGACUCCAUUGAUUCCUCUCCUCGCUCUCGCACGACUGAUUCUUAUUUUGAUGACCCCCCUCCCCUCUCCUCAAAGCUCCGCCUCAUGUGCUCUAACGGUGGCCACAUCGUCCCUCGCCCCCACGACAAGUCCUUGUGUUACGUUGGCGGCGACACCCGCAUCGUUGUUGUCGACCGUCACACUAGUCUCUCUUCUCUCUCCUCUCGUCUUUCAAAUACUCUGCUUGACGGCCGUCCUUUCACUCUCAAGUAUCAGCUCCCCAGCGAGGACUUGGAUUCCCUUAUUUCCGUCACUACCGAUGAGGAUUUGGACAACAUGAUCGAUGAGUAUGACCGGACUAAUAAUAACGCUGCCAAUUCUUCCAAACCAUCGAGGCUGCGUUUGUUUCUGUUCCCUUCGAAGCCGGAAUCAUCUCAGUCUAUUGGGCCGAUUUUGGAAAAUAGUGCCAAGUCCGAAGACUGGUUCUUGAAUGCGUUGAAUGGGGCUACUGGGUUGUUGGAUAGAGGGUUUUCUGAUUCAGCUUCUGUCAAUUGCUUGCUGGGUCUCGAUGACGAUGGCCUAAAUGGGAAUAAUAAUAAUCUCGAUUUAGUUGGUGGUGUUCGAGAUGUGGAGGGGUCGCAGAAGAACGCGAAGCAAGGUCAGGAUGUCCAUUCUGUGCCGGAUUCUCCGAUGUUGGAGACUACGUCGUCAUUUGGGUCUACUUCUUCUUCUCCUUCGCUUGCGAAUUUACCUCCGAUAAGAGUUCAUGUGGAGGAUGGAGGUGGUAGUGGAGGAGGUGGAGGGGUUAGAGGAGUUGUGCAGGAUCAGAAGGUGGCGGGUAUUGAGGAUCAGUUUUCUCAGAUUAAUGUGGGUGGUGGUAGUGGAGCUGUUGGGCAGAAGCAAGAUGAGGGUUUUGUGGUUCUGUCAUCGCCACCGCCGAUGCCAGUUUCUAUCGCUAUAACGGGUGUGCCCGUGGGCACUCCAGUGGUAGUCGGUGAGUAUCAGAAUCGGGUUUUCUCCGACGAUGAGAGAUCGGAUCAUGGGGUUCCAGUUGGUUAUAGAAAGCCGCCGCCACCUCAAACACAGCAGAAGUCAAGUGGUGGUGGUAGUGGAGGAGCUGUUGAUUUACCUUCUCCAGAUUCAGUUUCAAGUGAUAGUAGCCUUAGCAAUGCUAUAAAUCGACAAAAACCCAUGAUUUAUCAAGAUCAGGUUGUGCAUAUCCCAUCUGGAGUCAGCAGGGUUCCUGCUAAUCCUGUUGAUCCAAAGCUCAAUGUCUCUGAUCCAAAUCCUGGUGUUCAGAUUCAACAACAGGUUCAGGAUUCUGGAUAUUUAUUUCAAGCCCUAUAUGAACAGCAGCAACAGCAACCACAACCACAACCACAGCAAUUCAUACCCGCUGGUGCUCAUUACAUUCAACAUCACCCCACAGGGGCUGUGCCUAUCUCAGCAUUUUACCCUGUGUAUCCUCCCCAGCAGCAACACCAUCGCCAGUAUCAUCACCAGCUUGAUCAGCAAUACCCA
rnacentral:misc_RNA from 1 species